rnacentral:tRNA from 1 species
GCGCCCGUAGCUCAGGGGAUAGAGCGGCUGCCUUCUAAGCAGCGGGUCGGGGGUUCGAAUCCCUCCGGGCGCGCCA